CUUUGAAAUAAUCUGAAAGCAAAGUCAAAGCACAAUGAGGAAGGGUUACCUGUCCCGCUGUUGCUGACCUACCAACUGUGUUUAGUGGGAACAACGUGCCAUGCACUGCUAAACUGCUCAUGUUAACACAGCGAUAGGGCUGUAACUAGAGAAGGCUCUUGGGUCUUUAGUGGAGGUUUUGCUUUAAUACUGCCUCCCCUGCUGCGCAGUAAGUUUCUACAACUACAGAGUAAAACAGGACGAAAGGAUGGUGCUGUGAUUUUCAGUUCUGAAAUCUACAUCUUCUUUUUCCAGGUCAAGACUGGAUGAAGGGGGAGAGAGGCCACCACUGAGGGGUCCUGACCUAGUGCUAAAACAAUGCUUUGGGAAAUGCCUACAGCCCAGCAGCGCCUUAUGGCACUGCUUGACCAGAUGUCAUUUGAGAUUGGCAGUGGACCACAGGAGAAGGGAUGUGCAUCCAGUGAAGAAGAAGUUAUUCUCUCCCAUGAGGAGCUCUAACUUCAGCACCUACUAAAUCAUAACUCAGAAUUCCCUUAUUUUGGGCAAGCAGGUGAGAGAUUCCAUUCUUUCUGGAGCUUUAAUCAUUUUCACUGCCAUCCUUCCAGUUUUCUUCUGAAAAUGCAAUUCCUCAAAAUGGAGAAAACAUGAGUGACCUUGCUAGUACUGAGCAAAAGGGAAAAAGAACUUGACAUGUCAUGCAUGCUGGAUUCUUAUCUUUAUAUCUCAGGAUGAUUGAGUUUUGUUUUGUUUUGUUUUUUGGCAGUUUAUAGCCAAUUUGUGAAGAAAUGUGAAUUCUGUUCCUGACUCAGUAUGCUGCAGUCCCUCUCAAAUUUGCUUGUUUUCAAAUGUGCUGAAUACAGUUUCUAUGCCAUAGUUGAGACUGUUAAUGAAAACUGACUGGGGUCACUGACACACAGCUG
rnacentral:lncRNA from 1 species